GUACCGUGAGGGAGGGAGGAGGUGAGGAAAUAGCAGGAAAGAAAACUGGGAACAUUGUAUACAGUAACUUUAUUAAGCCGUCCGCUGCGAUUGUCAGGGAUUUUGCCUUCACCGGUAGCCUGGUAACAUACACUCCCAGGUCUUUCUCUGCCUCUGUGGUGGAUAGUGGAGUGUUUCCCAUGUGGUAUUGGUGUACUGGAUAUCCCUUCACUGGUAGCCUGGUAACAUACACUCCCAGGUCUUUCUCUGCCUCUGUGGUGGAUAGUGGAGUGUUUCUCAUGUGGUAUUGGUGUGCUGGAUAUCCCUUCACUGGUAGCCUGGUAACAUACACUCCCAGGUCUUUCUCUGCCUCUGUGGUGGAUAGUGGAGUGUUUCCCAUGUGGUAUUGGUGUGCUGGAUAUCCCUUCACUGGUAGCCUGGUAACAUACACUCCCAGGUCUUUCUCUGCCUCUGUGGUGGAUAGUGGAGUGUUUCCCAUGUGGUAUUGGUGUGCUGGAUAUCCCCUCCCAAGGUGCA